GACACACAGCUGGGGCUGGAGGCAGCGGCCAGGCUUCCAGCAGUAAUUUGGCGCGCUUGCCCUCACUCCUCCUGCUUUAACAACUUUACGGCUGCCUACAGCUGAGCACCCUGCUCUCAACACCGCCAGUCCUCAGUUUUCCCCACGCUAGCUUCUCCUCAAUGCUGCCCCGCCGGGCGCUGACUCCUAGCCGGCUUCCCAGCCUUCAGUCCUCGCUCCCGCGGUGUGCCUGGCUUCCUCCCUUGUGUCAACAAGUCCCAGCAUGUGGAACAGGAGGAGGAGCCAACGUUCAAUAAAUACACUUGACCAAGAAGAGCCACUGAAGAUUUUUAAAGAGAUACAUAACAAGACUGAGCACACCAGCUGGAACAGAGGGCUUCCCAAAGGCAACUGCGGCAUUGGAAAAACCUGAAGGCAAAAGCACAAAACAUCAAGUGCUGGAGAGGAUAUGUCAGCAUGAGCCCCUGGCAACUACUUUUCUACUCUCUGUUUCUGUGAGUUUUGACUUUUGUCCACCCAUUCCUUAAAUGUGGACUUCACAUAGUAACUUCAUUGCAAAGCGUACAAGAAGGAAAGGAAGAAAGAAGAGUAACUUUACAGUGGACAAAGCUGACAGACACCGCCCUAGCCAGGUGUGAAGGUCAACAUCAACAGUGAUACGUCAUUUGAUAGCAUGUAUCCUUGAUACGGUGUGAUGAAAAUGGUACUUUACUUCUGUGGUCUUCCUCCCAAAUAUCCAUAACCUCAGCCCAAACAUGAAAAAACCCCAGAACAGUUCUACUAGUGGGGCAUUCUAUAAAAUAUCUAAUCAGUAUUCCUUAAAACUGUCAAAGUCAUUAAAAUCAAGGAAAGUCUGAGAAACUGGGACAGCCAAGAAGAGCCCAAGAGACAUGAUGACUAAAUGUAAUGUGUCAUUCUGGAUGAGAUCCCGAAACAGAAAAAUGAUGUUAGGUAAAAACUAAAGAAAGCAGAAAAUACAGACUUUGGGUAAUGAUAAUAUAUCCAUAUUGGUCCAUUAAUUAUAAUAAAUAUACGGUUCUAAUGUAAGAUAUUAAUAAUAGGGAAAACUGGGUGUGGGGUUUAUAGAAACUCUUUGUACUAUCAUCUCAAUUUUUCUGUGAGCCCCAAACUGUUUCUAAAAAAUAAACUAUUUGAAAAAAAUCAGUAGACAUUGAAAAGGCAUUUGAUAAAUUUAAGUAUCAAUCCCCUUUUAUUUAAAAAAAAUUUUUUUAUUAAAAAAAUUAAAAAUAACAAGAUACUUCCUAAACAUGAUAUACUGGA